rnacentral:rRNA from 1 species
CUACGGGAUGCUCCAGUGGGGAAUAUUGCACAAUGGGCGCAAGCCUGAUGCAGCCAUGCCGCGUGUAUGAAGAAGGCCUUCGGGUUGUAAAGUACUUUCAGCGGGGAGGAAGGGAGUAAAGUUAAUACCUUUGCUCAUUGACGUUACCCGCAGAAGAAGCACCGGCUAACUCCGUGCCAGCAGCCGCGGUAAUACGGAGGGUGCAAGCGUUAAUCGGAAUUACUGGGCGUAAAGCGCACGCAGGCGGUUUGUUAAGUCAGAUGUGAAAUCACCGGGCUCAACCUGGGAACUGCAUCUGAGACUGGCAAGCUUGAGUCUCGUAGAGGGGGGUAGAAUUCCAGGUGUAGCGGUGAAAUGCGUAGAGAUCUGGAGGAAUACCGGUGGCGAAGGCGGCCCCCUGGACGAAGACUGACGCUCAGGUGCGAAAGCGUGGGGAGCAAACAGGAUUAGAUACCCUCGUAGUC